UACGGGGGGGGCAAGCGUUGUUCGGAAUUACUGGGCGUAAAGGGCUCGUAGGUGGCCAACUAAGUCAUACGUGAAAUCCCUCGGCUUAACCGGGGAACUGCGUCUGAUACUGGAUGGCUUGAGGUUGGGAGAGGGAUGCGGAAUUCCAGGUGUAGCGGUGAAAUGCGUAGAUAUCUGGAGGAACACCGGUGGCGAAGGCGACAUCCUGGACCGGCAUUGACGCUGAGGCGCGAAAGCCAGGGAGCAAACGGG
rnacentral:rRNA from 1 species